UCGAGCGGAAACGAUGGAGCUUGCUCCAGGCGUCGAGCGGCGGACGGGUGAGUAAUGCAUAGGAAUCUGCCCGGUAGUGGGGGAUAACCUGGGGAAACCCAGGCUAAUACCGCAUACGUCCUACGGGAGAAAGCAGGGGAUCUUCGGACCUUGCGCUAUCGGAUGAGCCUAUGUCGGAUUAGCUUGUUGGUGAGGUAAUGGCUCACCAAGGCGACGAUCCGUAGCUGGUCUGAGAGGAUGAUCAGCCACAUCGGGACUGAGACACGGCCCGAACUCCUACGGGAGGCAGCAGUGGGGAAUAUUGGACAAUGGGCGAAAGCCUGAUCCAGCCAUGCCGCGUGUGUGAAGAAGGCUUUCGGGUUGUAAAGCACUUUCAGUGAGGAAGAAGGCCUUGGGGCUAAUACCCCCGAGGAAGGACAUCACUCACAGAAGAAGCACCGGCUAACUCCGUGCCAGCAGCCGCGGUAAUACGGAGGGUGCGAGCGUUAAUCGGAAUUACUGGGCGUAAAGCGCGCGUAGGCGGCGUGAUAAGCCGGUUGUGAAAGCCCCGGGCUCAACCUGGGAACGGCAUCCGGAACUGUCAGGCUAGAGUGCAGGAGAGGAAGGUAGAAUUCCCGGUGUAGCGGUGAAAUGCGUANAGAUCGGGAGGAAUACCAGUGGCGAANGCGGCCUUCUGGACUGACACUGACGC
rnacentral:rRNA from 1 species